rnacentral:sRNA from 1 species
GGCAUCUGCUCUGGGCUUGCGGCAUGGCCGGCAGUGCUGCCCGCAUGUGCCCGACGCCAUCACCCGCUGGGCCCUGCUCGCCUCCUCCUGCCUCAGCCGGUGCUGCGCUGGCCCCACAUUCAGGGCAUGAGGCUCUCGAGAUGGCAGAGAAGUGUGGGGCCCGGGCCAUGGUGCAGCAGGGGUGGGGGUCUCGGCGUUGGGAACUCCUGGCCCAGGUGGGCUUGUGCCAGACAGGCCUGCAGGGUGAGUGGGCACCCGGAAAUGUCUGCUGCUACGGUCUCGGUGCAGGCAAGGCGGUGGGCGCAGGAGGAGGGGCUGUGUGGGGCUCCCUCGGUUUCCCACGGUGGCCCAGGAGGUUGGGGACCUGGCCCUGAGGCGCCCGCUGCACCUUGGGCUCCAUCCUGUGCUCUAGGCCUCUGGUGACCUUCGACCUCUUGGGAGAAGACCAGCUGGUUCUCGGAAGGCUGACGCACACCUUAGGGGCCCUGAUGUGCCUGGCUGUUAACACCAUGGUGGCUGUGGCCAUGGGCAAGGCCCUGCUGGAAUUCGUGUGGGCCGUUCGCUUCCACGUGGACGCCUACGUGCGCCAGGGGCUGCUGUCAGCCGUCACCUCCGUCCUGCUCAGCGUGCCUGCUGCACGCCUGCUGGAGGACCUGCCGGACGAGCUGCUGGAAGCCCGGUCCUGGCUGGCGGACGUGGCCGAGCAAGACCCGGACGAGGACUGCAGGACGCUGGCACUGAGGGCCCUGCUGCUUCUGCAGAGACUCAAGAACAGGCUCCUCCCACCUGCGUCUCCCUAGUCCCUGGAGGCCUCCCCAGGACCACCCCCGCCGGCAGCAAGGAAGGCGGCUGAGCAGCAGCCUGGAGCAGCGGAGCCAGGCUUUGUAGCGAGGCCAGGUCUGCGGCAGCAUCCGGCACGGAGAGUGCAGAUGCAGGAAGGCCCGGCCUGCCGCUAUUUAUAGUGCAGCAAGUCUGCUAAAAAUACACUGGGCCUGGGCACUGCCCGCUGGGACAUGGCAGCCUGGAUGUGGGGCUGGGGCUGUGGGCGCUGCUGGUGGGGUUGACUCUUCCAGUGAGGGCAGACCCAGGCUGGCAGGAGGGGAGGACGGUGUACCUGCUGCUCAGAGCCCCCAAGGCUGUCCUCUGAGAGCCACCAAGCAGGACAGAGCAGCUCUCGUCCCAGGUCCCUCGGGUUGAGCGCCGUGUCACCAGGAGAAUAGUGCUCACAGCCCAGGCAGGGUGUGUGGCUCCUGGAUGGGCUCGUGGGGCGGGAUGGGACAGGGCACAGGCUCUCAGAAAAUAAACUACUUUAUUGGAAUUA